AUUGAACGCUGGCGGCAGGCCUAACACAUGCAAGUCGAACGAGUGGCGGACGGGUGAGUAAUGCCUGGGACACUGCCUGAUGGUGGGGGAUAACUACUGGAAACGGUAGCUAAUACUGCAUACCAUCAGAUGUGCCCAGAUGGGAUUAGUUAGUUGGUGGGGUAACGGCUCACCAAGGCGACCAUCCCUAGCUGGUCUGAGAGGAUGACCAGCUACACUGGAACGGAGACACGGUCCAGACUCCUACGGGAGGCAGCGGUGGGGAAUAUAGCACAAUGGGAGCAAGCCUGAUGCAGCCAUGCCGCGUGUAGGAAGAAGGCAUUCGGGUUGGAAAGGACUUUCAGCGGGGAGGCGUUACCCGCAGAAGAAGCACCGGCUAACUCCGUGCCAGCCGCCGCGGUAAUAC
rnacentral:rRNA from 1 species